rnacentral:rRNA from 1 species
AACGAACGCUGGCGGCAGGCCUAACACAUGCAAGUCGAGCGGACCCUUCGGGGUUAGCGGCGGUAGGGUGAGUAACGCGUGGGAAUAUGCCCUUCUCUACGGAAUAGUCCUGGGAAACUUGGGGUAAUACCGCAUACGCCCCUUGGGGGUAAGAUGUAUCGGGGAAGGAUUAGCCCGCGUUGGAUUAGGUAGUUGGUGGGGUAAUGGCCUACCAAGCCGACGAUCCAUAGCUGGUUUGAGAGGAUGAUCAGCCACACUGGGACUGAGACACGGCCCAGACUCCUACGGGAGGCAGCAGUGGGGAAUCUUAGACAAUGGGGGCAACCCUGAUCUAGCCAUGCCGCGUGAGUGAUGAAGGCCUUAGGGUUGUAAAGCUCUUUCAGCUGGGAAGAUAAUGACGGUACCAGCAGAAGAAGCCCCGGCUAACUCCGUG